CCCUUAGAUGUCCGGGGCUGCACGCGCGCUACACUGUAGAAAGCAGCGUGCUUUAAAACCUUUCCUGAAAAGGAUGGGUAACCCCAGCAAAAUUCUACGUGCUUGGGAUAGAGAUUUGCAAUUUUCUCUCUUGAACGAGGAAUUCCCAGUAAGUGCGAGUCAUCAGCUCGCGUUGAUUACGUCCCUGCCCUUUGUACACACCGCCCGUCGCUCCUACCGAUUGAAUGAUCCGAUGAAUACCAUGGAUUGAGAGUACGAAUAGGUUCGCUUAUUUCUGCUUCUCGAGAAGUGGAGUAAAUCUUAUCAUUUAGAGGAAGGAGAAGUCGUAACA
rnacentral:rRNA from 1 species